UACGGAGGGUGCGAGCGUUGUCCGGAAUCAUUGGGCGUAAAGGGCGCGUAGGUGGCCCGGUCAGUUCGUGGUGAAAGCGCGGGGCUCAACCCCGCGUCGGCCAUGAAUACUGCUGGGCUGGAGCACUGUAGAGGCAGGCGGAAUUCCGGGUGUAGCGGUGGAAUGCGUAGAGAUCCGGAAGAACACCGGUGGCGAAGGCGGCCUGCUGGGCAGUUGCUGACACUGAGGCGCGACAGCGUGGGGAGCAAACAGG
rnacentral:rRNA from 1 species